GACGAACGCUGGCGGCGUGCCUAAUACAUGCAAGUCGAACGCACUCUCGUUUAGAUUGAAGGAGCUUGCUCCUGAUUGAUAAACAUUUGAGUGAGUGGCGGACGGGUGAGUAACACGUGGGUAACCUGCCCUAAAGUGGGGGAUAGCAUUUGGAAACAGAUGCUAAUACCGCAUAAAACCCAACACCGCAUGGUGUAGGGUUGAAAGAUGGUUUCGGCUAACACUUUAGGAUGGACCCGCGGUGCAUUAGUUAGUUGGUGAGGUAAAGGCUCACCAAGACCGUGAUGCAUAGCCGACCUGAGAGGGUAAUCGGCCACACUGGGACUGAGACACGGCCCAGACUCCUACGGGAGGCAGCAGUAGGGAAUCUUCCACAAUGGACGAAAGUCUGAUGGAGCAACGCCGCGUGAGUGAAGAAGGUUUUCGGAUCGUAAAACUCUGUUGUUGGAGAAGAAUGUAUCUGAUAGUAACUGAUCAGGUAGUGACGGUAUCCAACCAGAAAGCCACGGCUAACUACGU
rnacentral:rRNA from 1 species